rnacentral:rRNA from 1 species
GUCCACGCUGUAAACGAUGAGAACUAGAUGUUGCUCAGUUAUUACUGGGCAGUAUCGCAGCUAACGCAUUAAGUUCUCCGCCUGGGGAGUACGGUCGCAAGAUUAAAACUCAAAGGAAUUGACGGGGGCCCGCACAAGCGGUGGAGCAUGUGGUUCAAUUCGAUGCAACGCGAAGAACCUUACCUACCCUUGAAAUCCCCAAGAAUUUUCUAGAGAUAGAGAAGUGCCUUCGGGAACUUGGAGACAGGUGCUGCAUGGCUGUCGU